UACGUAGGUGGCAAGCGUUGUUCGGAAUUACUGGGCGUAAAGAGCUCGUAGGCGGCCGACUAAGUCAGACGUGAAAUCCCUCGGCUUAACCGGGGAACUGCGUCUGAUACUGGUUGGCUUGAGUGUGGGAGAGGGAUGCGGAAUUCCAGGUGUAGCGGUGAAAUGCGUAGAUAUCUGGAGGAACACCGGUGGCGAAGGCGGCAUCCUGGACCAUUACUGACGCUGAGGAGCGAAAGCCAGGGGAGCAAACGGG
rnacentral:rRNA from 1 species